UGACCGCCGCUUGAUUACAGAGACGGUGGGGGCUAGUGGCCUUGGCAGGAUUCUCGUGUAGUUUGUAGAUCAGGAAUGGCUUCGGCAGAGAAGUCGCGAAGACAUGACCAAGCCAUGCGUUGGACGAACGAUAAGGUCUACCAAACCUGGAGAGGGUGGGAGGGGAAAUGCGUUGGACCAACUAAAAAAGUUUCCACCAUCACAAAGCUCAUGCCUGGAUCUGGUGUAGCAGAGAAAAGCAGUGGAUGGACACCACCCACAAUGAUACAGUCGUAUGGAGCAGAUUUGCAGAUGGAUCAAGAGGCAAUGCAAUUGGGGCGGGACAUACAUGGAGCUCCUCCGUGUCAACGAUCUCAUCUGCACACAUUAUCUAUUUGAGCCUUGCCGCUCUGCCUCAUCAAGCCCUCACCACCCCACGCCGUCAACCACCUCUCUAUUCAGAUCCAUCGUAUGGAUCAUGUGUAUGUCGAAAACUAGAUUAUUUUAAAUAUGCAUACACAGUUCAUAGGCAAUUUUCUCACAGUGUCUCUAAAUACUAAAAUUUAUACUCAACAUUUUGGUAACUCGAGGUACAUAGUAACCGAAGGUAUCAAAUUUUAUACUAGAAAAUGUAGUACCUCCAAUUACGUUCUUAAGAAUGGUAAAAUCGCUCUUAGUUCAUAUAUAUAUAUAUAUAUAUAUAUAUAUAUACACAC
rnacentral:lncRNA from 1 species